AACCAGCAGUAGUGAAAGUAUAAACACUGAUGCAUGUUAAGAAUUGUGAAAAUUGGGAGAACAAGUGUUACAUGAUGUGAUACCUUAACCUUAGCUCCACAAUAUGUGCUCAAACUUGGGAUUCAUCAUUCAUGCUAAGUAACCUCAAGAAGCAACCUACAAAUGAAAAAAGUGGCUAGAGNNNNNNNNNNNNNNNNNNNNNNNNNNNNNNNNUUAAAUUCUUACAAAAUGUGUCAGUCAUUACAAAUUAAGUUCAUUGUACAAAAGUGAGACUACUCCUAAGAAUAUUGUCUCUAGUGCAAAACCAACCAUACAGCACAACCACUAAAUUCUCUCAAACAACCUAUAGAGACCAGGCUACCUCUAAAACACUAGUAAAAGAUAUAAUACCAAAUAUCAGGUUGGCUCCAUCUUGUGUCCAUUUCCAUUAAAAGAAGAAUUUUGAGCAGAUCAAAUUGCAUCAAAGAAGAGCAUUCCUUUGUUCACCUUGUAAUCUGCGAAAUUGGAAAAGUUUAAUCAGAUCAAAACAUCUGUACACAUUGAGCAUAGAAACAUAUCAAGUAAACACCAAAAAAACAAUAGCCACACUUCAACACACCAGAUAUAACCCCUUAGUCAACAACAACUAUAUUACACAUGGAAAUGGGAAUAUAUUCUAAUGUGC
rnacentral:lncRNA from 1 species